rnacentral:misc_RNA from 1 species
AUAAAAAUGGCUUUCCCAGGCAAUCAAGACAUGUUUCAAUAUUAACCCUGCAGAUGCCUUUUUAUUUGGUUGUAGCAGCAAUGAUAUCAGUUUUAUGGCUAAGUUAAAGAACCUUUUAGAAUGUUUGUUAGAAUGAAGUAUCAUCAAAUUUUUAUAUUUUAUUUAAAUGCAUGAAAUUAGAAUUGGAAUUACUUGUCUUUCAGAUGUUCAAGUGUUAGUGUGUGGGAGGCACUGAGAACUAUCAUGAUUAGUUACUUAAGUUGUCGCGUGUCUUAUAGUUAGCCUUUGGUUAUA